GUCACGUGUGCUUUACCAUUUCAGCUGGUGGGCUGUGUAACUUAAGUAUGGGCCAAAUGGUUUUAUGUUGAGGUCCAGGAGAAGCUUAAGUCAUACGGAGAAGCCCAAUAUCUUAUACGCAGCGGUUUGACGAAACACGUUAAGUGUGAUCGCAACGGAUGAAGAAACAAGCCAUGUGCAGUCCGUUACAACAACGUGAGCUGGCACACAAGUUGCGCGGAGAGUCAAGGGAAUCUUAGCUGCUAUAAGAGGAGAAAGGAAACAAGGAAACUACACUGGGAGAAAUACUAGACGUCAUUAAGAUCUGAGAGGGUGAGUGUAAACACUUAAGGAAUCGGGUGUGAGAUCAUCGUGUUCUUUGUGUACUCUUAUCUCUGAUCUGGGUGAGUGACGUGAGGUAUUGGUGAGAGGUGUGAGCUUGGGUGAGUGAUCGAGCUUGUAUACGGUUUCCUUUCUCCCGAGACGUACCAAGGGUUCGUUAAUACCCUUGGGAACUCUAAACUCUGUGUCGUCUACUUUAUUUCUGCAUACACAAACACUCAUAAUCAACUCAAGCUAAAGAAUGGACUAGAAACUAAAACUUGAUCGAGUUAAACCACUACAAGUGGUAUCAGAGCCGUGGUUUUUCGGUUUCAGGGAGGUUUUAGAUCUGUGGUGAUCGGGUUCUAUUUUCAUAGGUUUGAUCAGGUUGAGGAAUCUCUCACUGAUCAGAUCUGUGUUAAGAUCACCAGUUUCAGAUCUAAACAUCUGUGGUUUUCUGAUCUGGUAUUCUAUCGUUGGGUUUCUGGUAUUCUGGUUAUCUUGGGAAUUUCUUCUCUGCGGGUAUUCUUGUGUGUGGGAUUCUAUUUACUUGGUGGCUACAGGUUCUGAUCAAGCUUGUGUUUGCCGACUAUGGAACCUACUAAAGGAAGGUUUGAGGUGGAGAAGUUUGAUGGAGAAGGUGACUUUGCGUUGUGGAAACAUAAGAUGAUGGCUCAGUUUGAGAUCCUCGGGUUGGACUCUGUGCUGCAACCAGAGGAGGAUGAUCUCAAAGGCAAAGGGGUCGAAGGUGAUGGUUCUGAUGCUAAACCUAAGAAGGAUCCUAAGUGGCUUGAGAAGGACAGGAGAGUGAGAAACUUACUGAGCAUGAGUCUCAGUGACAUGGUUCUACGGAAGGUUAUCAAGUCAAGGUCAGCACUUGAGAUGUGGACGGCUCUAGAGGCUACCUAUCAGAUCAAAUCCUUGCCUAACAGGUUCUACCUCAAGCAACGGUUCUACAGUUAUAAGAUGGAGGAUGAUAAGAACCUGGAUAAGAAUUUGGAUGUGUUCACCAAGUUGGUAUCUGAUUUGGCGAGUCUUGAUGUUGAGCUGAGUGAGGAAGACCAAGCUGUUAUCCUGUUAAACAGUUUGCCAAGAAGGUUUGAACCAUUAGUUCACACUUUGAAGUAUGGUCGAGAUCAAGAAACAAUCACUUUAAAGGAGAUUACAAGAGCUGCUUACUCUAUUGAACUAGAUAUGAAGGCUAAAGGCAGCUCUGGUUCUUCUGGUACGAGUGGAGAAGGUCUCUACUUUCAAUCUCGAGGACGAUCUGAAAAGAAGACAACAUCAAAGGUUAAAUCAAACAGUCGAAGUAAGUCAAGACCAAAGUUCAAGAAAACUUGUUGGGUAUGUGGAGUAGAAGGACACUUUAAACGGGAAUGUCCUAAGAGAAACAAUUCCAACGGUUCUGUGAAGGCUGAAGCGAGUGUUGGUAAAGCUGAAUAUCAUGAACCACUCAUGCUUACAGCUUCAUGUCAUCUAAACCGAGAAGGGUGGGUCUUGGACUCUGGGUGCUCAUAUCAUAUGACUUUUAGAAAAGACUUGAUGUUUGACGUUGAAGAGAUUAAUGGUGGAAAGAUUCUAAUGGGAAAUGAUACUUUCUGUGAGAUUACUGCUAUUGGGAAAGUAAAGUUUGUCAGUUAUAAUAAGUCAGAAGUGAUAUUGACGGGAGUUCGCUAUUCUGAGUCUGCUAGAAGAAACUUGAUUUCACUAGGACAACUUGAGACUUUGGGCUGUUGGUUCCAAUCUAAAGAUUAUAGGCUCAAGGUUUUCAAAGGAGAUUCUGAGGUAUUGGCAGCAGAUUAUAAAGAAACUCUUUACUUUCUCGAUGGAGUUCCUGUUGCAGGGGAGGUAAACUCAGUUGAUGGAAGCUUGGAUAUUACUUCACUAUGGCACAGUCGACUCGGGCAUAUGAGUGUAAAAGGGAUGCAGUGUUUGGUAAAGAAUGGUUUUCUUGAAGGUGUGGACAUUACAACUAAAGAGAGCUGUGAGCAUUGUAUUCUCGGGAAGUUUCACAAGUUAUCCUUCAAGAAAGGAAAACACAACUCAGAGGAACCUCUUGCUUACGUGCAUUCUGAUUUAUGGGGUUCUCCCAAUGUUACUCCGAGUCUUUCUAAGUGCCACUAUUACAUUUCCUUUGUGGAUGAUUACUCAAGAAAGAUCUGGUUAUAUUUUCUUAAGACGAAGGACGAGGCUUUUUCAAAGUUCGUGGAAUGGUUAGCUUUGGUGGAGAAUCAGAGUGGCAAAAGUCUCAAAGCUUUAAGGACAGACAAUGGCCUUGAGUAUUGUAACAAAACAUUUGAGGACUUCUGUAAAGGAAAAGGGAUUCUAAGGCACAAGACAUGUCCUUAUACUCCACAGCAAAAUGGAGUUGCUGAGAGACUUAACAGGACGAUCUUGGAAAAGGUUCGAAGCCUUUUGAGUGAAACUGGGUUAGGUGAAGAGUUCUGGGCUGAAGCUUCUUCUACUGUGGCGUACAUGAUCAACAGAACACCUUCUAUACCGCUAGAGUUGAAGGUGCCCGAGGAAGUUUGGUCUGGAAGAAAGCCUGAGUAUGAUCACAUGAGGCGUUUUGGAUGUCUAGUAUAUUAUCAUGUGGAUCAAGGGAAGCUAAAGCCUAGAGCUAAGAAAGGGGUGUUCAUGGGAUAUCCUCAAGGAGUGAAAGGAUAUCGUAUUUGGAGUUUGGAAGAGAAGAAAAUUGUGAUUAAUCGGAAUGUAUUGUUUCAUGAAGAUGUGGUGUUCAAGGAUAUAGGAAAGCAUAGUGAUGUGUUUACUGUGGUUGCCAAGAACAAGAAACGUGUGUCAUUUCUUCUACCAGAGGACGAAGUUACUGAUGAACACACCGGGUCUUCAUCUGAAGGUGGAGUUUCUCGAAAUACUGAAGGAGAAGUUGAUUCUGAUGAUGAGGCUGAGAAAGAAGACUCUCCUACAGAUUUGAAAAACUACAUGCUAGCUCGAGACAGAACUAAGAGAACUAUUAAACCUCCGAGCAGGUUUGAUGAUGCUGAUGUGGCAGCCUACGCUCUAGUUAUGUCUGAGUUAGUAGAAGAAGAUGAACCAUUGACUUUCGGAGAAGCUAUUCGAAGCAAAAAUGGAAAGAAAUGGAGGAAAGCCUCUGAUGAAGAAAUGGAUUCAUUGAUAAAGAAUCAUACAUGGGUUCUAAUUGAUAGGCCAGAAGGUGAAAGGACUAUAGAUUGUAGAUGGAUCUAUAAAGUCAAGCCUGGUAUUCCUGGAGUGGAGGACAAACGUUAUAAGGGAAGGGUAGUGGCAAAAGGUUACUCUCAGAUAGAGGGAAUAGAUUAUCAUGAGGUGUUUUCUCCUGUGGUUAAACAUGUCACUAUUCGGUUGCUUCUGUCUAUGGUGGUGCAUCAGAAUUUGGAACUGGAACAGUUGGAUGUAAAAACAGCUUUCUUACAUGGGAAUCUAGAAGAGAGAAUUUUGAUGGAACAGCCAGAGGGGUAUAAGAAAGGGAACAAAGUAUGUUUGUUGAAGAAAUCUAUCUACGGAUUGAAGCAAUCCCCGAGACAAUGGAAUCGAAGGUUUGAUGAGUUUAUGAGGUCUCAGGGAUAUGAGAGGAGCUUGUAUGAUUCGUGUGCCUAUUUUAAGGUUUAUGGAAAUGGUAACAUGAUCUAUCUACUACUGUAUGUUGAUGAUAUGUUAGUGGCUGCACGUGAUGUGAAAGAAGUUCAGAAGCUGAAGGACUUAUUGAGUAGUGAGUUUGAAAUGAAAGACUUAGGACCUGCUAAGCGUAUUCUAGGAAUGGAUAUCUGUCGUGAUCGAGAGGAGGGAGUUCUUACGUUAUCACAAGGAACUUAUUUGUGUAAAGUACUACGGAACUUUAUGAUGGAAGAAUCUAAGUCAGUAUCUACUCCUAUGGGCUCUCAUUUCAAACUAUCUAGUACCAAAGCCGAGCUACAUUCUGAACUACAAGAAGCUAUGGAGAGUGUACCUUAUUCAAGUGCUGUUGGGAGUCUUAUGUACUCAAUGAUUGGUACGCGUCCUGACAUUGCAUACGGAGUUGGUCUGGUGAGCCGUUUCAUGAGUGCACCUGGUCAAGAUCAUUGGAAUGCUGUUAAAUGGUUAAUGAGGUACAUUAGAGGUACUACAGAUAUGGCUUUAACAUUCAAGAAAUCUGAAGUAUUUGACGUUAAAGGUUACUGUGAUAGUGAUUAUGCUUCUGACCUGGAUCGAAGAAGAUCAAUCACGGGAUAUGUUUUCCAAGUUGGAGGUAAUACUGUGAGUUGGCGUUCUGGUCUUCAACAUAUUGUGGCUUUGUCUACAACCGAAGCGGAAUAUAUGGCGUUAGUUGAAGCAACGAAGGAAGCUCUGUGGCUAAAAGGAAUUACCUCUGAAUUUGGAUUUGAGCAGAAGAAAGCCGAGAUCUUCUGUGAUUCACAGAGUGCGCUGUGUCUUGCUCGAAACAGCGUAUUCCACGAAAGAACGAAACACAUCGAUGUUCGUCUUCACUUCAUCAGAGACGUUGUAGCGGAUGGUUCGAUUGUGGUAUCGAAGAUUGGUACAGUGGAGAAUCCAGCUGAUAUUCUCACUAAGAAUGUACCGGUGAAGAAAUUCGAAGAAGGUAGAAGUCUGAUGAGGGUUCUCGUCAGCGGAAACUAGAUCGAAUCUGAUCUAGGAUUUUCUUCCGACAAGAGUAGGGUUGGAAGAGGGAAGGUGGAGUUACCUUCGGGAGCUGUCUGAAUUGGAAAAGCAAGGUGGAGAUUUGUCACGUGUGCUUUACCAUUUCAGCUGGUGGGCUGUGUAACUUAAGUAUGGGCCAAAUGGUUUUAUGUUGAGGUCCAGGAGAAGCUUAAGUCAUACGGAGAAGCCCAAUAUCUUAUACGCAGCGGUUUGACGAAACACGUUAAGUGUGAUCGCAACGGAUGAAGAAACAAGCCAUGUGCAGUCCGUUACAACAACGUGAGCUGGCACACAAGUUGCGCGGAGAGUCAAGGGAAUCUUAGCUGCUAUAAGAGGAGAAAGGAAACAAGGAAACUACACUGGGAGAAAUACUAGACGUCAUUAAGAUCUGAGAGGGUGAGUGUAAACACUUAAGGAAUCGGGUGUGAGAUCAUCGUGUUCUUUGUGUACUCUUAUCUCUGAUCUGGGUGAGUGACGUGAGGUAUUGGUGAGAGGUGUGAGCUUGGGUGAGUGAUCGAGCUUGUAUACGGUUUCCUUUCUCCCGAGACGUACCAAGGGUUCGUUAAUACCCUUGGGAACUCUAAACUCUGUGUCGUCUACUUUAUUU
rnacentral:lncRNA from 1 species